rnacentral:rRNA from 1 species
UGGGGAAUAUUGGACAAUGGGCGCAAGCCUGAUCCAGCCAUGCCGCGUGAGUGAUGAAGGCCUUAGGGUUGUAAAGCUCUUUCACCCACGACGAUAAUGACGGUACCCGCAGAAUAAGCCCCGGCUAACUUCGUGCCAGCAGCCGCGGUAAUACGAAGGGGGCUAGCGUUGCUCGGAAUCACUGGGCGUAAAGCGCACGUAGGCGGAUUCUUAAGUCAGAGGUGAAAGCCUGGAGCUCAACUCCAGAACUGCCUUUGAUACUGGGAGUCUCGAGUUCGGGAGAGGUGAGUGGAACUGCGAGUGUAGAGGUGAAAUUCGUAGAUAUUCGCAAGAACACCAGUGGCGAAGGCGGCUCACUGGCCCGAUACUGACGCUGAGGUGCGAAAGCGUGGGGAGCAAACA